AACAUAAUAAAAUCUAUGUUACGGCCAUAGAAUAGAUGACGUAGUCAUCAUAUGUUU
rnacentral:tRNA from 1 species